CGGCAAUGGAGGGAACUCUGACCGAGCAACGCCGCGUGAACGAUGAAGUAUUUCGGUACGUAAAGUUCUUUUAUUAGGGAAGAAUAAAUGAUGGAAAAAUCAUUCUGACGGUACCUAAUGAAUAAGCCCCGGCUAACUAUGUGCCAGCAGCCGCGGUAAUACAUAGGGGGCAAGCGUUAUCCGGAAUUAUUGGGCGUAAAGGGUGCGUAGGCGGUUAAAUAAGUUAUGGUCUAAGUGCAAUGCUCAACAUUGUGAUGCUAUAAAAACUGUUUAGCUAGAGUAAGAUAGAGGCAAGUGGAAUUCCAUGUGUAGUGGUAAAAUGCGUAAAUAUAUGGAGGAACACCAGUAGCGAAGGCGGCUUGCUGGGUCUUUACUGACGCUGAGGCACGAAAGCGUGGGGAGCAAACAGGAUUAGAUACCCUGGUAGUCCACGCCGUAAACGAUGAGUACUAAACGUUGGGUAAAACCAGUGUUGAAGUUAACACAUUAAGUACUCCGCCUGAGUAGUACGUACGCAAGUAUGAAACUUAAAGGAAUUGACGGGACUCCGCACAAGCGGUGGAUCAUGUUGUUUAAUUCGAAGGUACCCGAAAAACCUCACCAGGUCUUGACAUGCUUCUGCAAAGCUGUAGAAACACAGUGGAGGUUAUCAGUUGCACAGGUGGUGCAUGGUUGUCGUCAGCUCGUGUCGUGAGAUGUUGGGUUAAGUCCCGCAACGAGCGCAACCCUUAUUGUUAGUUACCAGCACGUAAUGGUGGGGACUUUAGCAAGACUGCCAGUGAUGAAUUGGAGGAAGGUGGGGACGACGUCAAAUCAUCAUGCCCCUUAUGACCUGGGCUACAAACGUGAUACAAUGGCUGUUACAAAGAGUAGGUGAA
rnacentral:rRNA from 1 species